rnacentral:SRP_RNA from 1 species
GCCAGGCAUGUUGGCGCAGGCCUGUAAUCCCAGCUACUUAGGAGGCUGAGUCAGGAGAAUUGCUUGAACCCGGGAGGCAGAGGUUGCAGUGAGCCGAGAUCACGCCACUGCACUCCAGCCUGGGUGACAGAGCAAGACUCUGUCUCAA